rnacentral:lncRNA from 1 species
CCAGGAAUGAGCUUUAAGGUUUACCAGUUGUGCUGAAUAGACUAAAUGUUGAAAGCAUCUCACAGCUACUUUCAUUUUAAUGAGCAAGUACAGCUACAAUAUUCAAUAUUUCAAACUUCAAACUGCAUUCUUUAUCACUAUUAGACUCAGAACUACAUUGUUUUCCUGCAAUUGUGGUUUAUUGUAAUCUUAAUUCAUUUUCUCAAAGACCAUUCAACACAUUUAUACUAUUCCAGUAAUUACCAUGCUACCCAGAAAAACAAGUGAACAGUUUUAUUAAGAAUUAAAUGAGGGUAUGGAAUGUGAUACAGUACAAGUAAGACACUGAAGAUGGGUAUAAUAGUACUACUUGCACAAAAAG